rnacentral:rRNA from 1 species
UAAAGUGGCGAACGGCUGAGUAACACGUUGGCAACCUGCCCUUUGCACUGGGAUAGCCUCGGGAAACCGAGGUUAAUACCGGAUACUCCAUAUUUGUCGCAUGGCGAAUAUGGGAAAGCUCCGGCGGCAAAGGAUGGGCCCGCGGCCUGUUAGCUAGUUGGUGGGGUAGUGGCCUACCAAGGCAAUGAUGGGUAGCCGGGUUGAGAGACCGACCGGCCAGAUUGGGACUGAGAUACGGCCCAGACUCCUACGGGAGGCAGCAGCU